rnacentral:lncRNA from 13 species
ACUGAACUUCAAUCACUGCAGGCUGCCGUGGAUUUUUUCCCCCUUUUUUCUUGCAACCCUUUCAAGAACUUGGAGAAGUAUUAAAUACCAGGCUCACCUUGCUAACAGUUUGUCCACCAGUAAGAAACAAUGGCAAAAGGGAUCAUUUACCUUGUUUUCUCCAUGCAGGACUCACCUGCUUUCGGGUUCAGGAGAACUCGCUGUGGUAUUGUUCUUCUUUGCUCCUUUUCCAAAGGAGAGCCCAGGCGUGCUAAUUACUGGGUGGCAGCUACACUAACUGCAAGUGGACGACAGCUGGGUGCCGGGCACGCUCUGCAAGAGGAGGAAUGGCUUUGGCAGAAAAAGACCCAAAGGAACGUUAGAAAGUGGAAAGUUGCUAGGUGUGGUGGCUCACACCUUUAAUCUCAGCACUUUGGGAGGCCAAGGCUACUCACAGGUCCAGGAGAACCCCGUCCCACAGAUGCUGGAAUAUUCCCUGCUUACCUCUCUUCAGCAGCCCCUCGUCUUUCAUUGAGAAGAUGAAAACUGGAAUGAAUUGUAAUUGAAUGUUAUUCAAUCUUUCCAUAUUAAAGUGAACAUGAGAUCAAAUUGUCGUUUUUCCCAAACUUUAUGUCAUUUUGUAUUAGAUUACUUUCCUCAUGCCAGAAUCAGAGUUCAUAUGAAUCCAAAGUGGAAAGAAUCUUUAAAUUUCUCCAAGUCUAUGAUAUGAAGAAAAAAGACCUAAGUGAGGUGUAUUUAAACGUGAAUGAAAACUCCAGCUUUGCCUUGGCAUCAGGUUGAAAUGAAUUCAGCCCACAUUUGGCAUUUGGGCUGCUCAU